rnacentral:lncRNA from 1 species
UAAAACUGCAAAAAAUGAAAAACAGGGAACACCGCUUUUGAUCACAAAAACAUCCAUUUAUUACUGAUGCAAAAUGUUGCACAAUGAAACACAUGAGAUGGCCCUUACAAUGGACCAGUACGUUUCGGGCAAAACGUAUGGCUUUCAUGCAAACAACAAUUGAAACACAGAAAUACUACACUUCCGGAUGAGCGACAAUGAUGCUUUUGGAGGCCUUCCAAUCGCCUGGUACGCACGACUUUAUCCACAACUCGAGCUCGCGGUCGCGGUCGAUCUCUUCACUUACUGAACAAGCAUGACCAGGAUCCAGCAUUCCUGCACUGACAAAGGUGUACGAUGGACGACGUCCUCUGUUUGGUCUAGACGACUCUUGAUCUGGCCGAUAACCGAUCCCAAACAUGUCUGCCUUUACCGGUGUUGAGUGGAUCCAUCAGUUUGGAUUUGU